CCUACGGGAGGCAGCAGUGGGGAAUAUUGCACAAUGGGGGAAACCCUGAUGCAGCGACGCCGCGUGAGUGAAGAAGUAAUUCGUUAUGUAAAGCUCUAUCAGCAGGGAAGACAAUGACGGUACCUGAGUAAGAAGCCCCGGCUAACUACGUGCCAGCAGCCGCGGUAAUACGUAGGGGGCAAGCGUUAUCCGGAUUGACUGGGUGGAAAGGGAGCGUAGACGGCAGUGCAAGUCUGGAGUGAAAGGCGGGGGCUCAACACCCGGACUGCUCUGGAAACUGUACGGCCGGAGUGCAGGAGAGGUAAGUGGAAUUCCUAGUGUAGCGGUGAAAUGCGUAGAUAUUAGGAGGAACACCAGUGGCGAAGGCGGCUUACUGGACUGUAACUGACGUUGAGGCUCGAAAGCGUGGGGAGCAAACAGGAUUAGAUACCCGUGUAGUC
rnacentral:rRNA from 1 species